rnacentral:lncRNA from 1 species
CAGGUUUGUUAUAUGGGUAAAUUGCGUGUUACUGAGGUUUGGUGUACAAUGACUUCAUCACUCAGGUAGUGAGUUUAGUACCUGAGAGGUAGUUUUUUGACCCUCCCCUCCUUCCAUCCUUCCCCUUCAAGUAGGCCCUGGUGCCUAUUGUUCCCAUAGUUGUGUCCAUGUGUACUCAGUGUUUGACUCCCACUUAUAAGUUAGAACAUGUGGUAUUUGGUUUUCUGUACCUGGGUUAAUUUCCUUAGGAUAAGGGCCUCCAGCUGUAUCCAUAUUGCUGCGAAGAACAUGGUUUCAUUUUUUAUGACUGCAUGGCAUUCCAUGGCAUUUAUGUACCAAAGAUUUUUAAAAUCCAGUCUACUG